rnacentral:rRNA from 1 species
UAAAAAGGUACUCAAGGGCACUAUAGUGGAUGCCUAGACGUAUAUUACCGAUGAAGGACGUGGAAGACUGCGAUAAGCUUCGGGUAGCUGUCAACAAGCUUUAAUCCGGAGAUUUCCGAAUGGGGGAACCUAACUUGGGUCAUGCCAAGUUGUCUGCUUCUGAAUAAAAUAGGAAGUGCGAACGGGAACUGGCCGAACUGAAUCAUCUUAGUAGGUCAAGGAAAAGAGAAUAACCAAUGAUUCUGGGAGUAGUGGCGAGCGAAACUGGAUCAGCCCAAACCUUUUAAGUUCUGUUGUAGUUUCUACAACAGUAUGGGUUACAGUCUAAUGCUUAAGGGGUGUUGCGAGUUUAAACAAUUUUAAGAUCGGGUGUUGUAGUUUUUACAAUGUCUGAUCUUGGAACCGACGACUGUAAUCGAGCGGAUAAGGUGAGAAAUCUGAGUUGCUAGCGGAAUAGUUUGAAUGGCUAGCCAAAGAGGGUGAAAGCCCCGUAUGCGAAAGCGACUCUGACCUUAUAUGUUUUUUCUCGAGUAGGCCGGGGCACGAGAAACCCUGGUUGAAUCCGGCAGGACCACCUGCCAAGGCUAAAUAUAAUAUACGAUCGAUAGCGAACUAGUACAGCGAUGGAAAGGUGAAAAGAACCCCGGGAGGGGAGUGAAAUAGAUCCUGAAACUUAGUGCCUACAAGGUGUCGGAGCCCGGAAUCGGGUAAAUCAGCUUCGGUUGGUUUAUCCAAUUCCGGGUGACGGCGUGCUUUUUGUAGAACGAUCCAGCGAGUUAAUUUCAUGCGCAAGGUUAAGUCAGUUGACGGAGCCACAGUGAAAGCGAGCCUGAAUAGGGCGAAUAAGUGUAUGGAAUUAGACCCGAAACCGGGUGACCUAACCAUGAGCAGGUUGAAGCUACUGUAACAGGUAGUGAAGGACCGAACCGUAGUCAGCAGCAAAUGGCCCGGAUGACUUGUGGUUAGAGGUGAAAUGCCAAUCGAACUCGGAGAUAGCUGGUUCUCCUCGAAAUAGCUUUAGGGCUAGCGUGAUGUAGUAGCAUAUGGGGGUAGAGCUCUGUAAAGGACUGGGGCGAGCAAUCGUACCCACCCUUAACAAACUACGAAUACCAUAUGUGUAAUCAUUGCAGUCAGAACGGCGGGGCUAAGCUCGUCGCUCAAAAGGGAAACAGCCCAGACCAUCGUCUAAGGUCCCUAAAUUAACACUAAGUGGGAAACAAGGUGAGAUUUCUUAAACAGCUAGGAUGUUGGCUUAGAAGCAGCCAUUCAUUUAAAGAGUGCGUAACAGCUCACUAGUCAAGAGAUCUUGCGUGGAAAAUGUAACGGGGCUAAGUGUUAUACCGAAGACAUGGAUUUGUGUUGUCCUAUGGGGCAGCAUAAGUGGUAGAGGAGCGUUGAUAUCGGCGGUGAAGCAGCAUUGGAAAGUGCUGUGGAGCGUUAUCAAGUGAGAAUGCUGGAAUGAGUAACCAUAAGACAGGUGAGAAUCCUGUCGGCCGUAAGAGCAAGGUUUCCUGAGCCAUGGUAAUCAUCUCAGGGUUAGUCGGGCCUAAGUCGAGGCGUUGCAGCGUAGACGAUGGACAUCAGGUUAAUAUUCCUGAACCGGUUAUAAUUUGUUAACUAUUCACGGCGUUUAGGUCAAAGCGGAUUCAUGGUAUGUAUCCGUCCAAGGUUCUCGGGAACGAGAACUGAGUGAAAGAUACCCCUCGGGGUGUCGAUUUUGGCUGGUGCGCUGGCUAGAAAAGUAGGUUAACGCGUGGUUAUAGCCGACCGUACCGCAAACCAACACAGGUGCUCGAGUCGAGUAGACUCAGGCUUACGAGUGAGUCUUCGCUAAGGAACUCGGCAAAACAGCGACCGUAACUUCGGGAUAAGGUCUGCCCCCAUAUUUUGGGUAUGAGCCAAGUUUAAAGCAAGAAUGGUUAAGAGUAUACCUUUUAAUUUAACGAAUAUUUCAAUGAGAUAGAGCAAUAAUGCUACGAACCGAGUGAAUAGAGAACUUGUUCUUUAUUCUGAGGUGAGGAAGCAUUAUCUAAAAUAGAUUUUUAAGCUUUAAGCUUGUAACUCUCGUAUCUAGUAUAUGGGGGCCGCAGCUAAAGAGCCCACGGAACUGUUUACCAAAAACACAGGUCUCUGCUAACACGAAAGUGGAUGUAUAGGGGCUGACUCCUGCCCGGUGCCGGAAGGUUAAGGGGACUGCUUCACGGUGGAAACUGAAGCCCCGGUGAACGGCGGCGAUAACUAUGAUCGUCCUAAGGUAGCGAAAUUCCUUGUCAGGUAAGUUCUGACCCGCACGAAUGGAGUAAUCAUGUGGGCACUGUCUCAGCGAAGAGCUCGGUGAAAGUGCAUUGGCGGUAAAGAUGCCGUCUAUCCAUACCAGGACGAGAAGACCCCAUGGAGCUUUACUACAGUUUUACAUUGAUUUGAGUUAUAUGAUGUGUAGCAUAGGUCGGAGACUUUGAAGCAGAUACGCUAGUAUUUGUGGAGUCGCCAAGUGAAAUACGACCCUUGAUGUGAUUUAAAUCUUACUCUUGCCGUUAUCCGGUAAGAGGACCGUGUAUGAUGGGUAGUUUAACUGGGGCGGUUGCCUCCUAAAGAGUAGCGGAGGCGUUCAAAGGUUACCUAACUUCGGAUGGAAAUCGAAGUGAUAGUGUAUGCGCAUAAGGUAGCUUGACUGUGAGGACUACAAUCCAAUCAGACACGAAAGUGGGAGCAAAUGACCCGCUGUAUGAACAUUAGUUCAAUUUACGUGGGAAAGACAGCGCACACGGAUAAAAGUUACCCUGGGGAUAACAGGCUUAUAGCGCCCAAUAGUUCACAUAGACGGCGCUGGUUGGCACCUCGAUGUCGGCUCAUCACAUCCUGGAGGGGGAGCACCUUCCAAGGGUCCGGCUGUUCGCCGGUUAAAGUGGUACGCGAGCUGGGUUCAGAACGUCGUGAGACAGUUCGGUUUAUAUCCGGUAUGGACGAUAGGAAUUUUGAGGAGAGCUGUCUCUAGUACGAGAGGACCGAGAUGGACGAACCGCUGGUGUAUCGAUUGUGGCCACCUGCUGCAUUGUCGAGUAGCUAUGUUCGGAAUGGAUAAGCGCUGAAAGCAUAUUAAGCGCGAAGCCGACUUCAAGAUAAUAAUUCCCUAUGAACUCCCAGAAAGAAGAUCUGGUUGAUAGGCGCAAGGUAGAAGCGUGGCAACACGUGCAGCUGAAGCGUACUAAUAGAGUCAUUGCCUUUUUAUG